GGACAACCUGCCCUGAGGACUGGAAUAAUCCCGGGAAACUGGGGGUAAUUCCAGAUAUGUCAGAACUCCUGGAAUGGGUUCUGGCAGAAAUGCUCCGGCGCCUCAGGAUGGGUCUGCGGCCUAUCAGGGUAGUAGUGGGUGUAACGUACCCACUAGCCUACGACGGGUACGGGUUGUGAGAGCAAGAGCCCGGAGAUGGAUUCUGAGACAUGAAUCCAGGCCCUACGGGGUGCAGCAGGCGCGAAAACUUUACAAUGCGGGCAACCGCGAUAAGGGGACCUCGAGUGCUGGGUUACAAACCUGGCUGUUGGGCUGCCUAAAAAGCAGUCUAUAGCAAGGGCCGGGCAAGACCGGUGCCAGCCGCCGCGGUAACACCGGCGGCUCGAGUGGUAACCGCUGUUAUUGGGUCUAAAGGGUCUGUAGCCUGCCGGCUAAGUCUCUUGGGAAAUCUGGCAUCUCAAGUGUCAGGCUGCCAGGGGAUACUGGUCAGCUUGGGACCGGGAGAGGUGAGAGGUACCUCAGGGGUAGGGGUGAAAUCUUGUAAUCCUUGAGGGACCACCAGUGGCGAAGGCGUCUCACCAGAACGGAUCCGACGGCAAGGGACGAAAGCUAGGGGCACGAACCGGAUUAGAUACCCGGGUAGUCCUAGCCGUAAACGAUACUCGCUAGGUGUCGGCCACGGUGCGACCGUGGUCGGUGCCGUAGGGAAGCCGUGAAGCGAGCCACCUGGGAAGUACGGCCGCAAGGCUGAAACUUAA
rnacentral:rRNA from 1 species